UAUAUAUAUAUAUCCCAGGGCAGUGAUUGGGGACACUGCCCUGUGUAGGGUGCUGUCUUUUGGAUGGGACCUUAAAUGGGUGUCCUGACUCUCUGAGGUCAUUAAAGAUCCCAUGGCACUUAUCGUAAGAGUAGGGGUGUUAACCCUGGUGUCCUGUCUAAAUUCCUAAUCUGUCCCUCAAACCAUCAUGGUCACCUAAUAAUCCCCAGUUUACAAUUGGCUCAUUCAUCCCCCUCCUCUCCCCUGUAACUAUUCCCCAGGUUGUUGCUGUAAAUGAGAAUGUGUUCUCAGUCAACUUACCUGGAUAAAAUGGAAACAAGGUCCAUUUACCAUUUUACUAUGAAAUAUCUCAGUAAGUACCUGAUAAUUACAUAUUGUAAAGUACUAUCUACAAAGAUACAGCUCACCAUGCUAAACAAGUUAGGACCUUCCAAACACAGGCAAACAGCAACCACUAGCGGCUGUUCAGGCUACUUAUUAACCUGAUAGUCAUUCAGUUCUCAAGAAAUGAAACUAGAUUUCCUACGGAGGGUGUGGCUAAAGACCUCAGUUAUAAAAAGGCUUUGUUUACACAGACAGCCUAAUUCUGAUAUUUUUCACUUAUUGGUCUUUUGACCAAUCAGAUCAGCUCUGAAAAAGAUCUGAUGUGAAAAGGUCUGACGUUAUUGGUCAGAAGACCAACUAGUGGAAAAAAGAUCAGACACGGGCUGCCAGUCUAAACACAGCCUUAAGGAUCAGAGUCGGUAUGUAUAGAUACAAACAUACGAUUGGGACAUUUCAGCUGCCAUACAGUGGGGAGACAUCAACUGAAGGCCGCCAAUCUGAAACUCUACAAUCAAGCAGCAAGUCUCCAAACAAAGACCUGAGCCCUAGGACCAUGCCUCGGGACUACCUAGCCUGAUGACCCCUUUCUGUCCCCAGUCCACCUGGUCAUGCUGCUGCUCCAGUUUCAACCGUUCUCCUUGCGGCUAUGGAACCCUGACCUGUUCACCGAAUGUGCUACCUGUCCCAGACCUGCUGUUUUGGACACACUCUCUACUGCACCUGCUGUCUCUAACUCUGAAUGAUCGGCUAUGAAAAGCCAACUGACAUUUACUCCUGAGGUGCUGACCUCGAUCCAACUCAAGAGCCAUGGAUUGUGUAUGUGUGCCAUUCAGAGAGUGAAUGGGUAAGGUUUGUGUCAAGAACUGGAAACGGUUUGUGUCAAGAACUGCAACGCUGCUGUUUUUUUCACUCAACAGUUUCCCGUGUACCAAGAAUGGUCCACCACCCGAACAAAGGGCAUCCAGUCAACUUGACACAACUGUGGGAAGCAUUGGAGUGAACAUGGACCAGCAUCCCUGUAAAAUGCUUGACACCUUGUGGAGUCCAUGCUCCAAUGAAUUGAGACUGUUCUGAGGGCAAAAGGGGGCACAACUCAAUAUUAGGAAGGUGAUCUUAAUGUUUUGUACACUCAGUAUCCAUUGUUUUCAUGAACAACUAUUUCUACAUUAUUUUAUUUUUUUACAUAUUACAUAUUUAGGUACAGUAUUUUUCAUACAAAGAAGCACAUUACUUCUCAUAUUCAGUGCUUAGUGCUCACAAGGGCUUUAUUGUAAUACCCACUAGAGGGCAGCACAGACUCACAAAUCCAUUUGAUACAUAAAAAAUAUUACCAAAAUGA